AGAGAAACCCUAGAACUCAUCAACGAGAGGUUCCAAAAAGUAGAUCCUUUGUGUGCAUCAGGAAGACGACGUGUUGCUCGUCUUGAGAGAGAUUGUUUGCUGUGAGAAAGAGAGUUUGUUUCUCUUCUCUUGAAUCUCUGUAACUUUCUUUGAUCAUAUAGUGAAAUAUUGAUCUGUGCGGCUGUGGACGUAGGAGCAAGAGACUC
rnacentral:lncRNA from 1 species